rnacentral:rRNA from 1 species
CACGUAGGGGGCAAGCGUUGUCCGGAUUUAUUGGGCGUAAAGAGCUCGUAGGUGGUUCGGUAAGUCAGGUGUGAAACCUCCAGGCUCAACCUGGAGACGCCACUUGAUACUGCUGUGACUGGAGUCCGGUAGGGGAGCGUGGAAUUCCUGGUGUAGCGGUGAAAUGCGCAGAGUAUCAGGAGGAACACCGGUGGCGAAGGCGGGUCUCUGGGCCGAUGACUGACGCUGAGGAGCGAAAGCGUGGGGAGCGAACAGG